rnacentral:rRNA from 1 species
AUUGAACGCUGGCGGCAGGCCUAACACAUGCAAGUCGAGCGGAUGAAGGGAGCUUGCUCCUGGAUUCAGCGGCGGACGGGUGAGUAAUACCUAGGAAUCUGCCUGGUAGUGGGGGAUAACGUCCGGAAACGGGCGCUAAUACCGCAUACGUCCUGAGGGAGAAAGUGGGGGAUCUUCGGACCUCACGCUAUCAUAUGAGCCUAGGUCGGAUUAGCUAGUUGGUGGGGUAAAGGCCUACCAAGGCGACGAUCCGUAACUGGUCUGAGAGGAUGAUCAGUCACACUGGAACUGAGACACGGUCCAGACUCCUACGGGAGGCAGCAGUGGGGAAUAUUGGACAAUGGGCGAAAGCCUGAUCCAGCCAUGCCGCGUGUGUGAAGAAGGUCUUCGGAUUGUAAAGCACUUUAAGUUGGGAGGAAGGGCAGUAAGUUAAUACCUUGCUGUUUUGACGUUACCAACAGAAUAAGCACCGGCUAACUUCGUG